UACGUAGGUGGCAAGCGUUGUCCGGAUUUAUUGGGUUUAAAGGGUGCGUAGGCGGUCUUUUAAGUCAGUGCUGAAAUACUCCAGCUUAACUGGAGGGGUGGCAUUGAUACUGGAAGACUUGAGUGUAGUCGAGGUAGGCGGAAUUGACGGUGUAGCGGUGAAAUGCUUAGAUAUCGGGAGGAACACCAGUGGCGAAGGCGGCUUCCUGGCCUGUUCUUGACGCUGAGGCGCGAAAGCUAGGGGAGCAAACGGG
rnacentral:rRNA from 1 species